GUAGGUGGCAAGCGUUGUCCGGAAUUAUUGGGCGUAAAGCGCGCGCAGGCGGUUCUUUAAGUCUGAUGUGAAAGCCCACGGCUCAACCGUGGAGGGUCAUUGGAAACUGGAGAACUUGAGUACAGAAGAGGAAAGCGGAAUUCCACGUGUAGCGGUGAAAUGCGUAGAGAUGUGGAGGAACACCAGUGGCGAAGGCGGCUUUCUGGUCUGUAACUGACGCUGAGGCGCGAAAGCGUGGGGAGCAAACAGGAUUAGAUACCCUGGUAGUCCACGCCGUAAACGAUGAGUGCUAAGUGUUAGGGGGUUUCCGCCCCCCUUAGUGGUGCAGCUAACGCAUUAAGCACUCCGCCUGGGGAGUACGGCCGCAAGGCUG
rnacentral:rRNA from 1 species